rnacentral:rRNA from 1 species
AUUGAACGCUGGCGGCAGGCCUAACACAUGCAAGUCGAGCGAGCGGCGGACGGGUGAGUAAUGUCUGGGAAACUGCCUGAUGGAGGGGGAUAACUACUGGAAACGGUAGCUAAUACCGCAUACCAUCAGAUGUGCCCAGAUGGGAUUUGCUAGUAGGUGGGGUAACGGCGCACAUAGGCGACGAUCCCUAGCUGGUAUGAGAGGAUGACCAGCCACGCGGGGACUGAGACACGGUCCAUACUCCUACGGGAGGAAGCAGUGGGGAAUAUUGGACAAUGGGCGCAAGCCUGAUGCAGCCAUGCCGCGUGUGUGAAGAAGUCCUUCGGGUUGUAAAGCAAUUUCAGCAGAGAAGCGUUACCCGCAGAAGAAGCACCGGCUAACUCCGUGCCAGCAGCCGCGGUAAUUC